rnacentral:rRNA from 1 species
UACGUAGGGGCCGAGCGUUGUCCGGAGUUACUGGGCGUAAAGCGCGCGCAGGCGGCUCGUCAAGCCUGACGUGAAAGCCCCCGGCUCAACCGGGGAGGGUCGUCGGGGACUGGCGGGCUUGAGGUCGGCAGGGGUUGGUGGAAUUCCCGGUGUAGUGGUGAAAUGCGUAGAUAUCGGGAGGAACACCUGUGGCGAAAGCGGCUCACUGGACCACAACUGACGCUGAUGCGCGAAAGCUAGGGGAGCAAACAGG